UACGGAGGGUGCAAGCGUUAUCCGGAUUUACUGGGUUUAAAGGGUGCGCAGGCGGAUAUGUAAGUCAGUGGUGAAAUCUCUGGGCUUAACCCGGAAAUUGCCAUUGAUACUAUAUAUCUUGAAUGCUGUGGAGGUAAGCGGAAUAUGUCAUGUAGCGGUGAAAUGCUUAGAUAUGACAUAGAACACCUAUUGCGAAGGCAGCUUACUACGCAGAGAUUGACGCUCAUGCACGAAAAGCGUGGGGGAUCAAACAGG
rnacentral:rRNA from 1 species